CCGUUGUAGGUCUCGUCAUCGCCAUGGAUAAAGAGGAGAUGAUGAGAAAGAUAAUGAGACUGGAUAAAGAGGAGAUGGUGAGAAAGAUAAUGAGACUCAACAUUAAAAUACAAAUUUUAUAUAUAUAUAUAUAUAUAUAUAUAUAUAUAUAUAUAUGAGGUAAAAAGGUUAUUUUAUUUCUUAACUAACUGUGGUCAACUUUUUUAACUCAUGAUUAUUUAAAUUUUGGUAACAGAAGAAUAUAUUCACAAACGAAAGGACUUUUGGAUGGAUAAAUCGGAUAACUUAAGUUUCUUACGUAUAAAUUUGUUAUUUGAUAUUUUUGCAGGAAA
rnacentral:lncRNA from 1 species